GGCCGAGUGGCGGAAUGGCAGACGCGGCGGAUUCAAAAUCCGCUUUCCGAAAGGGAGUGCCGGUUCGAGUCCGGCCUCGGCUA
rnacentral:tRNA from 1 species